AGCUUUGCACAGUGGCAGAAUCGUAGCCAGUAAGAUUUAUUUGAGGCACAAUUAUUGCUAAUUGAAAAUGUUUCCUAACGCCAUGACAACAUGAAAUAUAGUUGGCAUUGGCAAUUUUUUUUUGUCCA
rnacentral:snRNA from 1 species